rnacentral:rRNA from 1 species
UACAGUGGCGUACGGGUGAGUAACACGUGGGGAUCUACCUUCGGGUGGGGGAUAACUCUGGGAAACCGGAGCUAAUACCGCAUAAGCAGGGAACUGGAAAGCCGAAAGGCGCCGGAAGAGGAGCCCGCGGCCGAUUAGCUAGUUGGUGAGGUAACGGCUCACCAAGGCGACGAUCAGUAGCUGGUCUGAGAGGAUGAUCAGCCACAUUGGGACUGAGACACGGCCCAA